rnacentral:rRNA from 1 species
ACUCAAAUGAAUAGACGGGGGCCCGCACAAGCGGUGGAGCAUGUGGUUCAAUUCGAUGCAGAGCGAAGAACCUUACCUGGGCUUGACAUGCAGGAAGUAGGAACCCGAAAGGGGGACGACCCGUUAAAUCGGGAGCCUGCACAGGUGGUGCAUGGCUGUCGUCAGCUCGUGCCGUGAGGUGUUGGGUUAAGUCCCGCAACGAGCGCAACCCUCACCCCAUGUUGCCAACGGUUCGGCCGGGCACUCUUGGGGAACUGCCGGCGAAGAGCUGGAGGAAGGGGGGGAUGACGUCAAGUCCGUAUGCCCCUUAUGUCCAGGGCUACACACAUGCUACAAUGGUCGGUACAGAGGGUUGCCAACCCGCAAGGGGGAGCCAAUCCCAUAAAGCCGAUCUCAGUUCGGAUUGCAGGCUGCAACUCGCCUGCAUGAAGUCGGAAUCGCUAGUAAGCGCAGAUCAGCAGGCUGCGCUGAAUACGUUCCCGGGCCUUGCACACACCGCCCGU